rnacentral:rRNA from 1 species
CCUACGGGAGGCAGCAGUGGGGGAUAUUGCACAAUGGGGGGAACCCUGAUGCAGCGACGCCGCGUGGGUGAAGGAGCGUUUCGGCGCGUAAAGCCCUAUCGGCCGGGAAGCAGAUGACGGUACCCGACCAAGAAGCCGCGGCUAACUACGUGUCAGCAGCCGCGGUAACACGGAGGGAGCAACCGUUAUACGGAUUUACUGGGGGUAAAGGGGGCGCAGACGGCAAUGCAAGCCAGGAGUGAAAGCCCGGGGCCGAACCCCGGGACUGCUCUUGGAACUGCAAGGCUGGAGUGCGGGAGAGGCAGGCGGAAUGCGCGGUGUAGCGGUGAAAUGCGUAGAUAUUGGGAAGAACACCGGUGGCGAAGGCGGCCUGCUGGACUGAGACUGACGUUGAGGCCCGAAGGCGUGGGGAGCAAACAGGAUUAGAUACCCGAGUAGUC